GCGCGCACGCGCACGCGCACGCGCGUAUAUAUAUAUAUGUGUGUGUGUGUGUGUGUGUGCGCGC